CCCCUAAAUCCGGUUGAUCCUGCCGGACCCGACCGCUAUCGGGGUAGGGAUAAGCCAUGGGAGUCGUACGCUCCCGGGAAGGGGGCGUGGCGGACGGCUGAGUAACACGUGGCUAACCUACCCUGAGGAGGGGGAUAACCCCGGGAAACUGGGGAUAAUCCCCCAUAGGCGAGGAGGCCUGGAACGGUUCCUCGCUGAAAGGCUUAUGGGCUGUCCCCGCUCAUAAGCGCCUCAGGAUGGGGCUGCGGCCCAUCAGGUUGUUG
rnacentral:rRNA from 1 species